GACAUAGGUGGCGAGCGUUAUUCGGAAUUACUAGGCGUAAAGCGAGUGUAGGCGGGCGCUUAAGUCCGACGUGAAAUCUCCCGGCUUAACUGGGAGGGGUCGUCGGAUACUGGGUGUCUUGAGUGGGAUAGGGGGCAGUGGAAUUCUCGGUGUAGCGGUGAAAUGCGUAGAUAUCGAGAGGAACACCUGCGGCGAAGGCGGGUUGCUGGGCUGACACUGACGCUGACAGCGCGAAAGCUAGGGGAGCGAACGGG
rnacentral:rRNA from 1 species